rnacentral:rRNA from 1 species
AGAUUGAACGCUGGCGGCAUGCCUUACACAUGCAAGUCGAACGGCAGCACGGGAGCAAUCCUGGUGGCGAGUGGCGAACGGGUGAGUAAUAUAUCGGAACGUGCCCAGUCGUGGGGGAUAACGCAGCGAAAGCUGUGCUAAUACCGCAUACGAUCUGUGGAUGAAAGCGGGGGAUCGCAAGACCUCGCGCGAUUGGAGCGGCCGAUAUCAGAUUAGCUAGUUGGUGGGGUAAAAGCCUACCAAGGCGACGAUCUGUAGCUGGUCUGAGAGGACGACCAGCCACACUGGAACUGAGACACGGUCCAGACUCCUACGGGAGGCAGCAGUGGGGAAUUUGGACAAU